UACAGAGGGUGCUAGCGUUGUUCGGAAUCAUUGGGCGUAAAGGGCGUGUAGGCGGUUUGUUAAGUCAUGUGUGAAAGCCCCCGGCUCAACCGGGGAACGACGCAUAAAACUGGCAGCUAGAGUACCGAAGAGGGGGGUGGAAUUGCCCGGUGUAGCGGUGAAAUGCGUAGAUAUCGGGAGGAACACCUGUGGCGAAGGCGGCCCCCUGGUCGGAUACUGACGCUGAGACGCGAAAGCGUGGGGAGCAACAGG
rnacentral:rRNA from 1 species